rnacentral:lncRNA from 1 species
AAGAGUCGGACACGACUGAGUGACUGAACUGAACUGAACUGAAUACAUUUACUGUUGCAGUCCAUGGAUUGCAAACAGUCAGACACGACUUAGCAACUGAACAACAGUACAUUUUAAUUGUUUGUUUAUAUUUUUGAAAAACAAUUCUUUGCAAAAAAAUCUACUUCCUGCACAAAUAUUUAGACAAAAUAAUUAACUCUGUCUGAUGGAUAGGUCUGUAGAUAAAGGAAAGUCCUAUUUCUUUUAUUUGCUCCAGUCUGAUAACUAGAGGAAUUGACAAGGUCUGUGCAUUGGUUAGUAAGGAGCUUGGCAUUUGAGAUGCAGACAGUUGCAAGGAUUCAGAGCAGUGCAGUGGAAAAAGUGGUGGAAAUAGUGUAACUAAUCAGUAGUCCCCAAAUUUCCCAAGUUAUAUAUUUUUUAAUGUUAUCACUAUUUUAAGUUACUGUGUUGUUUACACCAUGUUUUGGAACACCAUUAUUGAUUCCUCAAAAACAGGCUAUUUGUCUUGGUAACUACUAGGAGUUUCUUUGCUUUGUUUCUUUGUUUUGUGAUGACAAGAGAGAAGUCAAAUUAUUUCUCUCUUUGUGUAAUUUUAAAGAAAGACAUAGUUCAUAGUGUGUGACUUGGUUACCAAAACUUUGCCCCUGAAACAGAGAAGGCUGCAUUUGUAGGGUUGGGUAGAUGUGGUUGGCUUCAGAUUGCCUCCUUUUUUUAUUUUGUAGAGUCGAGGCAGAGUAUAUCAACAAUGUGAUUUCAGCACCCAUGGUGGAGGAAAUCUUGGUGUUAGGAUAUGGAGCCUGGUGUUUGGUCUCUUGGAGAGCUGUUGAAGGGUGGGGUGGGGAGCAUGGAUUGUAUAUUCCUGGCUGCCUGGUUGAAAUAGCCUUCCGUACUCCAAGACAAGGGUGCAGGGACUUAGGUUUGAUUCUUGGGAUUCCAGGUUUUUCCAGAAAAUGAGAGGGAAUAAGAGGUCCAGUUAGCCCAUUUCUUCAAGUAAGAAUUUAUAAAACAAAUCAUUUGAUUAUCCCUUGAAAUGAGAAUGUAAGUUCAAGGUUGGGCUGUGGAGUAAGUUUUUGCUGAUGCCAAGUCAAGUAAUUGACUAGUCUAACACCAGAAAGAUCCUCAGUGUUUCCCACACUGCCCUUAACUAGAAUACAGACUUCCAGUGGCCAGGGACUAUGCCUNNNNNNNNNNNNNNNNNNNNNNNNNNNNNNNNNNNNNNNNNNNNNNNNNNNNNNNNNNNNNNNNNNNNNNNNNNNNNNNNNNNNNNNNNNNNNNNNNNNAGGGACUAUGCCUAUUUAUUCACCAUGUGUACUUUCUAAAACAUGGUAGGAGCUAUGAUUAGUCUGCUAAGGUGGCAGUAAUAAAAUAACCACAGACUGGGUGACUUGAACAAGAGAAAUUUAUUUCCUACAGUUCUAGAGACCAGAAGUUCAUCAACAAGGUGCAGCUGAGUGGGUUUCUGGUGGGACAUCACUUCCCAGCUUGUAGACAGCUGUGCCCUGGCUGUGUCCUCACAUGGCCUUUGGAAAGAGAAAGGGAUCUCUGGUAUCUCUUCUCCUUUUUAUAAGGACAUUAAUCCCAUCAGAUGAGGAGCCCUCUUUAUGAAUUCAUUUAACCUUAAAGAAUCUUCCUGCAAUGCAGGAGAUGCGGGUUCAGUCCCCGGGUCGGGAAGAUCCUCUGGAGAAGGAAAUGGUAACCCACUCCUGUAUUCUUGCCUGGGAAAUCCCAUGGUCAGAGGAGCCUGGUGGUCUAUAGUCCACAGGGUCAUAAAAGAGUCAGACACGACUGAGUGACUGAACAACAGCAACAACUUCUUAAUGUCCUUGUCUCCAAAUAUGAUCGCAUUGGGGAUUAGGCUUCAAUAUAUGAAUUUGGAGGGGGAUGUAAUUCAAUCCAUAACAAGGUAAUAAAAGUUUAUUGGAUAAAUGAAUUGAUAAAAUAAACGGUAGUUAUUCAGCAAUAAUACAAAGUUAAGGGUGAUAAGUGAUUUUGUAAAGUAUCUUGCAGCAAAUUCCAUGGUCCAGGAUUUUCUCAAAUGCAUUCUUGGGAUGCUAGUCUCCCAAGAUGCUCUCUGAGAAUAGGAUUUAAAUGGUUUAAACACAUUUGGAGAACUCUGUAUACCAUAUCCCUCUCUUGGAGAGUCAGAUUAUACUUUAGCAUAGUAAAACCUCUGCUAUGUCAGAAAAGAAAACUGUUAACUGUAUUUAGCCCAGACUUUCCUUCUACAUAUUGGAUAUAGAACCUUCCCUCCAAUUUUUUUUUUAAACUAGUGCUAUUUAUUGCCCAUUUUGAAAAUGCCUCAAACACUGCUUAAGGGUAAUAUCUGUAGGCUCAGAAUUGGAAGGGGAGGGGAAAAUGGAGAUUUCUAGUCUAUCCUGUUUUCCAUUUACCAUUUCAACUCAACUUCAGACUCUCAGGACAUUGGAAUCUAGAAAUAGAUAUUAGUGUAUAAACUUAAACUUUAUAUCAUGGUAAUAAAAAUACAAAUUGUUUUAUUAAGAUAAAAAAAUUAUCUCCUAAAUAUGGGAGUGACUGUGGAAAAGAGAAGGCCCUUUGUGUGGGUGUGUGGCCUAGAGGGAUGGUAGAGGGGGGCGAGGGUACGUGUGUGCAUGUUCAGUCACUUCAGUCAUGUCUGACUCCUUGCA